UACUCCUACGGGAGGCAGCAGCCAAGAAUUUUCCGCAAUGGGGGAAACCCUGACGGAGCGACGCCGCGUGAAGGAUGAAGGUCUUCGGAUUGUAAACUUCUUUUCUAUGGGAAGAAUAAGUGUGUCAGGAAAUGGGCAUGCGAUGACGGUACCAUAGGAAUAAGCCCCGGCUAAUUACGUGCCAGCAGCCGCGGUAAUA
rnacentral:rRNA from 1 species